GUUGUUUUAUGUUUGUUAUUUUUUGAUUUGGAUCGCUUUUUCUUAUUUGUGUUUUUUUUCGUGGAUAAGAACGGGGGGAGGAGGUCGGUCUAUCGGACUAGGUAAUAAAUCAGUAAUACCAUCCAAUAUUAACUCUAUACCCUUUCCUUU
rnacentral:ribozyme from 13 species